rnacentral:rRNA from 1 species
UACGUAGGUGGCAAGCGUUGUCCGGAUUUACUGGGCGUAAAGAGCGCGCAGGCGGUUGGAUAAGUCGAAUGUGAAAGCCCCCGGCUUAACUGGGGAGGGUCAUUCGAUACUGUUUGACUUGAAGGCAGGAGAGGGCAGCAGAAUUCCCGGUGUAGUGGUGAAAUGCGUAGAUAUCGGGAGGAAUACCAGUGGCGAAGGCGGCUGCCUGGCCUGUUCUUGACGCUGAGGCGCGAAAGCUGGGGAGAGCAACGGG